AAACCAACCUUGGGGAGCCUUUCGAGGCUGAGAGUCUGUAUUGAAUUGGUCAAAAUCUGAUCAAUACAGUGACCCAUUGAACCUGAACCAGUUAGGACUGGCGGAGGGAUGGUGUUUAUGUUUGAC
rnacentral:ncRNA from 1 species